UACGUAGGGUGCAAGCGUUGUCCGGAAUUAUUGGGCGUAAAGAGCGUGUAGGCGGCCAUGCAGGUCCGUUGUGAAAACUCGAGGCUCAACCUCGAGACGCCGAUGGAAACCGCAUGGCUAGAGUCCGGAAGAGGAGAGUGGAAUUCCUGGUGUAGCGGUGAAAUGCGCAGAUAUCAGGAGGAACACCGGUGGCGAAGGCGGGUCACUGGCCCGGUACUGACGCUGAGGUGCGAAAGCGUGGGGAGCAAACAGG
rnacentral:rRNA from 1 species